UCGUAGGUGAACCUGCGGAGGGAUCAUUACACAAAUAUGAAGGCGGGCUGGAACCUCUCGGGGUUACAGCCUUGCUGAAUUAUUCACCCUUGUCUUUUGCGUACUUCUUGUUUCCUUGGUGGGUUCGCCCACCACUAGGACAAACAUAAACCUUUUGUAAUUGCAAUCAGAAAACAGUAACAAAUUAAUAAUUACAACUUUCAACAACGGAUCUCUUGGUUCUGGCAUCGAUGAAGAACGCAGCGAAAUGCGAUAAGUAGUGUGAAUUGCAGAAUUCAGUGAAUCAUCGAAUCUUUGAACGCACAUUGCGCCCUUUGGUAUUCCAAAGGGCGUGCCUGUUCGAGCGUCAUUUGUACCCUCAAGCUUUGCUUGGUGUUGGGCGUCUUGUCUCUAGCUUUGCUGGAGACUCGCCUUAAAGUAAUUGGCAGCCUUCCUCCUUUUUUCGGAGCGCAGCACAAGUCGCACUCUCUAUCAGCAAAGGUCUAGCAUCCAUUAAGCCUUUUUUUCAUCUUUUUUCCUCGGAUCAGGUAGGGAUACCCGCUGAACUUAAGCAUAUCAAUAAGCGGAGGA
rnacentral:rRNA from 1 species